GAUGAACGCUGGCGGCGUGCUUAACACAUGCAAGUCGAACGGGAAUUAUUUUAUUGAAACUUCGGUCGAUUUAAUUUAAUUCUAGUGGCGGACGGGUGAGUAACGCGUGGGUAACCUGCCUUAUACAGGGGGAUAACAGUCAGAAAUGGCUGCUAAUACCGCAUAAGCGCACAGAGCUGCAUGGCUCAGUGUGCAAAACUCCGGUGGUAUAAGAUGGACCCGCGUUGGAUUAGCUGGUUGGUGGGGUAACGGCCCACCAAGGCGACGAUCCAUAGCCGGGCUGAGAGGGUGGACGGACACAUUGGGACUGAGACACGGCCCAGACUCCUACGGGAGGCAGCAGUGGGGAAUAUUGCACAAUGGGGGAAACCCUGAUGCAGCGACGCCGCGUGAAGGAAGAAGUAUCUCGGGAUGUAAACUUCUAUCAGCAGGGAAGAUAGUGACGGUACCUGACGAAGAAGCCCCGGCUAACUACGUG
rnacentral:rRNA from 1 species